AUGUUUUCUUCUGGUGACAAGACUUUGAUUUUAAGGAGCAUUUAUUUGAUGAUUUCAUGCAUUUUGGAUAAUAUCUUUUGGUAAGUACAAAUACAUUAGAUUCCACCAUUUUGAAUAUGUGCAUGUUACAAUAAGAGUAAAGAAAACAGUUAUAGAAUGUUUACAUAAGAUUUAAUUACUUUCAUCACAAUCAUAAGGAAUUAGAAAUACAUUGUUAUUACAUAUAAUGAAAAAAUAUUUAAAUGGUAUAGGUAUGCUUUUGAUAAUAAUAUAAAAAACUUAAACAUAGAACUGUGAGAAAACUCACAUUAAGAUAUACCACAAACAGUUUGCUGCAAUAUGUCUGAAACAAGUUGCUUAAUUCAUUAAGAUACAUACUUCUGGAAUACUAUAGUACAUGUUUAAUUUUAAAAUUUUUAAAUAUAUGAUUGAGUAGGGAAAAAAAUGCUUAAAAUAAUUGUCAGGAGAUAUUUUAAAGUCUAUGAUAUAUGAAUGAAUCAAAUGGCUUGGUCCUUAAUGGCAGGGUACAUUUAUACACAACAUAUAUACAGGUAUGUACUCAUUUAAAUAAAUAAAAAAAGCAUGUUGACUUAAACAAAUCUGAUAUACAAUGACAUACUAAUGCAUGAUAUUUGGUAUUUAUAUAUUUUUUUUAAAAAACUUUACAUCCAGAACUUUUGUUUUGUUUCAGAUUUACUGUUAGAGACCAGCAGCUCUGAUUUAUAAAAACUAUUGUGAGGGCCAAGAUACAUUUAUGUGACCAGCUUAAACUAGUCAAGACAAGAGGGCUUUUUGGAAAAUUGGAGAGAAUAGAAGAUG
rnacentral:lncRNA from 1 species